rnacentral:tRNA from 1 species
AGAAAUUUAGGUUAAAUAAGACCGAAAGCCUUCAAAGCUCUAAGUAAGUUAAGCAAUACUUAAUUUCUG